rnacentral:rRNA from 1 species
GAUUAAGUUAUUAAGGGCGCACGGUGGAUGCCUUGGCACUAGAAGCCGAUGAAGGACGUUACUAACGACGAUAUGCUUUGGGGAGCUGUAAGUAAGCUUUGAUCCAGAGAUUUCCGAAUGGGGAAACCCAGCAUGAGUUAUGUCAUGUUAUCGAUAUGUGAAUACAUAGCAUAUCAGAAGGCACACCCGGAGAACUGAAACAUCUUAGUACCCGGAGGAAGAGAAAGAAAAUUCGAUUCCCUUAGUAGCGGCGAGCGAAACGGGAAGAGCCCAAACCAACAAGCUUGCUUGUUGGGGUUGUAGGACACUCUAUACGGAGUUACAAAGGACGACAUUAGACGAAUCAUCUGGAAAGAUGAAUCAAAGAAGGUAAUAAUCCUGUAGUCGAAAAUGUUGUCUCUCUUGAGUGGAUCCUGAGUACGACGGAGCACGUGAAAUUCCGUCGGAAUCUGGGAGGACCAUCUCCUAAGGCUAAAUACUCUCUAGUGACCGAUAGUGAACCAGUACCGUGAGGGAAAGGUGAAAAGCACCCCGGAAGGGGAGUGAAAUAGAACCUGAAACCGUGUGCUUACAAGUAGUCAGAGCCCGUUAAUGGGUGAUGGCGUGCCUUUUGUAGAAUGAACCGGCGAGUUACGAUUUGAUGCAAGGUUAAGCAGUAAAUGUGGAGCCGUAGCGAAAGCGAGUCUGAAUAGGGCGUUUAGUAUUUGGUCGUAGACCCGAAACCAGGUGAUCUACCCUUGGUCAGGUUGAAGUUCAGGUAACACUGAAUGGAGGACCGAACCGACUUACGUUGAAAAGUGAGCGGAUGAACUGAGGGUAGCGGAGAAAUUCCAAUCGAACCUGGAGAUAGCUGGUUCUCUCCGAAAUAGCUUUAGGGCUAGCCUCAAGUGAUGAUUAUUGGAGGUAGAGCACUGUUUGGACGAGGGGCCCCUCUCGGGUUACCGAAUUCAGACAAACUCCGAAUGCCAAUUAAUUUAACUUGGGAGUCAGAACAUGGGUGAUAAGGUCCGUGUUCGAAAGGGAAACAGCCCAGACCACCAGCUAAGGUCCCAAAAUAUAUGUUAAGUGGAAAAGGAUGUGGCGUUGCCCAGACAACUAGGAUGUUGGCUUAGAAGCAGCCAUCAUUUAAAGAGUGCGUAAUAGCUCACUAGUCGAGUGACACUGCGCCGAAAAUGUACCGGGGCUAAACAUAUUACCGAAGCUGUGGAUUGUCCUUUGGACAAUGGUAGGAGAGCGUUCUAAGGGCGUUGAAGCAUGAUCGUAAGGACAUGUGGAGCGCUUAGAAGUGAGAAUGCCGGUGUGAGUAGCGAAAGACGGGUGAGAAUCCCGUCCACCGAUUGACUAAGGUUUCCAGAGGAAGGCUCGUCCGCUCUGGGUUAGUCGGGUCCUAAGCUGAGGCCGACAGGCGUAGGCGAUGGAUAACAGGUUGAUAUUCCUGUACCACCUAUAAUCGUUUUAAUCGAUGGGGGGACGCAGUAGGAUAGGCGAAGCGUGCGAUUGGAUUGCACGUCUAAGCAGUA